AAGGGAAUAAUAAACAUGCCGGAGAAAAAGUUCCAAAACCUGAAGUCUCACGACUGCCACGUGAUUAUGACGCAAUUGCUUCCGAUUGCUUUGGGGGGGCUCCUACCGGAAAAUGUUCGAGUAGCCAUUGUGAAGCUAUGUGCAUUCCUCAAUGCAAUCUCUCAGAAGGUAAUCAAUCCAGAAGAUCUACCACGGUUACAGAACGAUGUGGUCCAAUGCCUUGUCAGUUUCGAGUUGGUGUUCCCACCAUCCUUCUUCAAUAUUAUGACGCACCUCCUGGUCCACCUAGUCGAAGAGAUUUCCAUUCUCGGUCCUGUAUUUCUACACAAUAUGUUCCCCUUUGAGAGGUUCAUGGGA
rnacentral:rRNA from 1 species